GAUUUGGAAAUGGUGUUUCAUUGCCUAAGUGCGGAGACAUGUUAAAAUCAUGCCUCUCAAGAUUGAAGUUUUCUUUUACAAAAUGGAAGGAUGUGACAUGUUCUGGACAUCUGGCUGCUAGCCUGGGAUUUUUUUUAAAGAAGGAGUGUACCUUACUGAAUCAAAAGAUGGCUGCUGCAGAUCACAUGAUUCACAAGUUGGCUACAGUUUCUGGAAAUUUCCAACAGCAGUUACAGGACAAAAGUUCAACCCUCAUCCUUGUGGAAUCUUACACAUUGUGAGGACACAUUACAAUCAAUGAAACCAAGGACCAGCAGACAACUUGUCUACCCAGUAUGGACCAAAACAAAGGGAGAGCCAUUGAAACUCAUUAUGGCUGCAGAGGGGCUAAAAGCUGCCAUCUAUCUCCUAAGGUGAACAAUGGAUCUGACCAGAGGCAUGGAAACUGCUUGUUAAUCUGUAACCGACUCAUUAAUGGGCAACAUCACAUGACCUAUGUUUCUGGCCUUUGGAAAGUUUUAAUACUACAUUUCUAGACUCCCAAUCCAGUCUGCUGUUUAAACUAUAGCCUGAAAACGUCAGAGCAGGACUCAAGGCUGACCAACAGCCUGCAUCGAGUCUAAGUCCUCAAAGCCUAUUUUCUCUAAAAGAUUCAUGCCAUUGUCUGCCGAGCAGACCAAGUCUCUGUAUACCAACCUCAUCUCACCCCUUCAACUUCAGCUUUAAAGGAAUUCUGCAAGCUCCUCCUUCAGCCAGCUGAACCUUUCUGAACUGUAGCUCCUGUAUGAAGGAACCUUCAUUGGACUCUGGCUUUCUGGACUCUAACAAUCAGGUGAACUGAUUUCCAUAUCUGUGGUGCAUUUUCUUUUAAGUUAUUCAUUAUUGUAAACACUCCUCUUCCCUAUCUUCUUAUUGAGUGCUUGUAUGUAUAUGAAGUUGUGACUAUUCCCAGGGUUUGAAUGUGUGAAUAAACUAUACAGGUACUGGACCCCUUGUUCAGGAAGCUCAGGACCAGAUGUGUGCUGGAUUUGGGGAUUUUAUGGAUUUUCAGUCCUUGUCCUAGCAUUUACUUAUCACACGUAAAAUAAAGUAUGAAAAAUAAAGAAUGAAAGGGUUUUAUUCAAAUUGCUACCCUGGACACCAGUUUCAAAUGUAGACAAUUUUUGUGUCCUUCUAGAUUUUGGGAUGUCAGUUCCAAUGCCUGUCCUUCAGGUUUAACCAUAAAGAGAGUUUGCUGCAAGUCACUUUAAAAAUUGACCUCACAAAUGGAGAAUUUGGGGAAACAUGCCACAGCCUAUUUCAAAAAAGUAUAAACCUCUGCUUAUGGACAGACAGUGGAAGAUAAAGGAGCUCAAUUUUGCCUCUCUCCCCUGUCAGCAACAAAUGCCACAUCAAAGCUACUGCACUGUAGUCUGUGUACCAAAUCAACAUUGUGGCAUUUUUACACAUACAUGGAUAUAUGUGUUCAAUCUUUACUUUGGAAAUGUCACCAAAUUAUAUCUGUUGUUUUAAUGAUUAUUGCAAAUAUCUAGUUCUAGGUUCAUGUGUUUUCGUAUAUAAUUUACAGUUUUAGGAAUUAAAGUUUAACUAUAGAAAAUGGGAUAAAUGCAAUUAAAGUAGCUAGGAAUCUAUUACACUUAAAAGGUUGGGGCCAAGUUGAUUUGAGAGGUUAACAGAUAGAAAGGUGAGAUCAUAAAAUAGCAGCUGGGCUUACUUAGCUGGAGAGCAGGAGCUAUAAUGUCUACACCGCAUGCAAAGAAGUGCAGUCCAGAGAGAUUGUUUUGUUUUAGGAAUUAGAACUAAAUUAGUUUAAAAGCAUUCAGUGCAUCUUGAAAAGUUAUAAAACCAUUUACUUCAUCAGGUCAAAAAAAAGCAAUUGUAAAUGAGGGAUCAGUUAAAGAUCAUUUUGAGCACAGCCACAGAACGCUACAUCAUCAUGAGAUGGGUAGAGCCCUGGAAAGCUGUCUGUUUUCAAUUUACCUUUUUUUUUGCUGACAGAGUUAGUUGCACUUUAGACCUGGUGUGGUUUGCAGCUCACUGAAAGAAGUUAUCCAAAAUAAAUGGCAAUUAGACAGACCUGCACUGUAAGCAGAGUAAAACACUAACUGCAUUAUUGACUGCUUGGAAGGUGGGCGAUGCGUAAUCUCAGUUUGAAACUUGUAGGGGAACAGAUGCUUUAGGAAUGCCUAGUUUAAAGCUAGUGGGAGAAUCUACAGUAAGGCCUUACCAGCACAUUAGCUUGGAAGUAUUGGAAAAGUAAUCAGAACGAGGGACUAAGGCCUUCACAGUCAAGAGAGAGUAAAUUAAAGUUUACCUCUGAGAAUAGCUGGAGCUGGGGAAAAUUCUCCAGAGGACUGUGACAUACUUAUGGAUGAUCCCUACAGAACAAAAUAAUUUUUGAGAUUGAUGUAUCUUAUAAGAGAAUUCUUGGCAGAAGUAAGAAAAAAACCUAAGUACAUAACAUGUAUAUUAUGUGCUAUAGUGUUAACUUACUCAUAUUUCCUUUGUAUAAUUUAUUCUUUCUACAAUAAAGUAUGCAUUUUUUAAAUAAAACAA